UGGGGAAUAUUGGGCAAUGGGCGCAAGCCUGACCCAGCAACGCCGCGUGAAGGAAGAAGGCUUUCGGGUUGUAAACUUCUUUUAUUCGGGACGAAGCAAGUGACGGUACCGAAUGAAUAAGCCACGGCUAACUACGUGCCAGCAGCCGCGGUAAUACGUAGGUGGCGAGCGUUAUCCGGAUUUACUGGGUGUAAAGGGCGUGUAGGCGGGAGUGCAAGUCAGAUGUGAAAACUAUGGGCUCAACCCAUAGCCUGCAUUUGAAACUGUACUUCUUGAGUGCUGGAGAGGCAAUCGGAAUUCCGU
rnacentral:rRNA from 1 species